AUUAUAAAUAAAACCCAAAAGCAUAAUUAACUUAACUUUUUUUAAUAUAAUGGGAUUAAUUUUUAAUAUAAUUUUUAUAUUUAUUAAUUCAAUCCCAGGGCGUUCUAUAUGGUUAUGUAUUUUAAUAAGUUUUUUUAAAAUUUAUUAUUUAUACCUCUAACUAGAGCGUACCUUGAGCAUAUAUGCUGUGACCCGAAAGAUGGUGAACUAUACUUGAUCAGGUUGAAGUCAGGGGAAACCCUGAUGGAAGACCGAAACAGUUCUGACGUGCAAAUCGAUUGUCAGAAUUGAGUAUAGGGGCGAAAGACCAAUCGAACCAUCUAGUAGCUGGUUCCCUCCGAAGUUUCUCUCAGGAUAGCUGGUGCAUUUAGAAAUUAUAUAAAAUAAUCUUAUCUGGUAAAGCGAAUGAUUAGAGGCCUUAGGGUCGAAACGACCUUAACCUAUUCUCAAACUUUAAAUGGGUAAGAACCUCACCUUUCUUGAUAUGAAGGUUGAGGUUAUGAUAUAAUGUGCCCAGUGGGCCACUUUUGGUAAGCAGAACUGGCGCUGUGGGAUGAACCAAACGUAAUGUUACGGUGCCAAAAUUAACAACUCAUACAGAUACCAUGAAAGGCGUUGGUUGCUUAAAACAGCAGGACGGUGGACAUGGAAGUCGUAAUCCGCUAAGGAGUGUGUAACAACUCACCUGCCGAAGCAACUAGCCCUUAAAAUGGAUGGCGCUUAAGUUGUAUACCUAUACAUUACCGCUAAAGUAAAUGAUUUAUAUUCAAUUUAUUUUAACUGAAUUUAAUAAAUUUUGAAACUUUAGUGAGUAGGAGGGUAUAAUGGUGUGCAUAGAAGUGUUUGGCGUAAGCCUGCAUGGAGCCGCCAUUAGCACAGAUCUUGGUGGUAGUAGCAAAUAAUCGAAUGAGACCUUGGAGGACUGAAGUGGAGAAGGGUUUCGUGUGAACAGUGGUUGAUCACGAGUUAGUCGGUCCUAAGUUUAAUGCGAAAGCUGAAUAUUUUCAAAGUUUAAUUUUAUAAAUAUAUAAUAAUAAAUAAUUAUUUGAUAAAAAAUUUAUUACACUUUGAUUUAUAUAUUUAAACGAAAGGGAAUACGGUUCCAAUUCCGUAACCUGUUGAGUAUCCGUUUGUUAUUAAAAAUGGGCCUUGUGCUCAUCCUGGUAACAGGAACGACCAUAAAGAAGCCGUCGAGAGAUAUUGGAAGAGUUUUCUUUUCUGUUUUAUAAUCGUACUACCAUGGAAGUCUUUCGAAGAGAGAUAUGGUAGAUGGAUUAGAAGAGCAUGACAUUUACUGUUGUGUCGAUAUUAUCUCCUCGGACCUUGAAAAUUUAUGGUGGGGUCACGCAAAUUUCUCAACAGGCCGUACCGAUAUCCGCAGCUGGUCUCCAAGGUGAAGAGUCUCUAGUCGAUAGAAUAAUGUAGGUAAGGGAAGUCGGCAAAUUAGAUCCGUAACUUCGGGAUAAGGAUUGGCUCUGAAGAUUGAGAUAAUCGGGCUUGAUUGGGAAGCAAUAUCAUGGUUUAUGUACUCGUUCUGGGUAAAUAGAGUUUGUUUUUUAUAUCAUUUUAAGAUAUGGAAAUGAUCUUGUUCCCCGGAUAGUUUAGUUUACGUAACCAAUUGUGGAACUUUCUUGCUAAAAUUUUUUUAAAAUUUAUCAUCUCUUAACUGGAGCUUGAUAUUUAAUUUUUAAUUUAAUUAUAACGAUUAUCAAUUAACAAUCAAUUCAGAACUGGCACGGACUUGGGGAAUCCGACUGUCUAAUUAAAACAAAGCAUUGUGAUGGCCCUAACGGGUGUUGACACAAUGUGAUUUCUGCCCAGUGCUCUGAAUGUCAAAGUGAAGAAAUUCAAGUAAGCGCGGGUAAACGGCGGGAGUAACUAUGACUCUCUUAAGGUAGCCAAAUGCCUCGUCAUCUAAUUAGUGACGCGCAUGAAUGGAUUAACGAGAUUCCUACUGUCCCUAUCUACUAUCUAGCGAAACCACAGCCAAGGGAACGGGCUUGGAAUAAUUAGCGGGGAAAGAAGACCCUGUUGAGCUUGACUCUAAUCUGGCAGUGUAAGGAGACAUAAGAGGUGUAGAAUAAGUGGGAGAUAUUAUAUUAUUUAUAAUAUUUUAUCAACAAUGAAAUACCACUACUCUUAUUGUUUCCUUACUUACUUGAUUAAAUGGAACGUGUAUCAUUGCUUAGCCAUUAUACGGAUAUAUUUAUAUAUGUCUUAUGGUAUUGGGUCUUGAUGCAAGAUUCUUGAUCAAAGUACCAAGAGUUUGUUAUAUAAUUGUAAACAAAUUUUUUAUGAUUAUUGAUUUUUUUAUAAUAAGUGAAAUUUCGAUUUUAUUUUAUUUUUAUUAAUUGAAAUUAAAUAAAAAUUUGGUAUAACUCCAUAUACUCUGGUAUGAUCCAAUUCAAGGACAUUUCCAGGUUGGGAGUUUGACUGGGGCGGUACAUCUCUCAAAUAAUAACGGAGGUGUCCCAAGGCCAGCUCAGUGCGGACAGAAACCACACAUAGAGCAAAAGGGCAAAUGCUGACUUGAUCUCGGUAUUCAGUACAUACAGAGACAGCAAAAGCUCGGCCUAUCGAUCCUUUUGGUUUAAAGAGUUUUUAACAAGAGGUGUCAGAAAAGUUACCACAGGGGUAACUGGCUUGUGGCGGCCAAGCGUUCAUAGCGACGUCGCUUUUUGAUCCUUCGAUGUCGGCUCUCCCUAUCAUUGUGAAGCAAAAUUCACCAAGCGUUGGAUUGUUCACCCAUGCAAGGGAACGUGAGCUGGGUUUAGACCGUCGUGAGACAGGUUAGUUUUACCCUACUAAUGACAAUAUGUUAUUGCGACAGCAUUCCUGCGUAGUACGAGAGGAACCGCAGGUACGGACCAAUGGUACAAUACUUGUUCGAGCGAACAGUGGUAUGAUACUACGUCCGUUGGAUUAUGCCUGAACGCCUCUAAGGUCGUAUCCGCGCUGGACUGCAAUGAUAAAUAUGGGGCAAUUGCAUUGUAUGGCUUUUAAAUUAUUUUUUAAGUUUUAUAAGUAAUUAUAAAACGACACAAAUAAUUCUAUGUGACGCCAAUGUUAUAUGUAAUAUAAGCUAAUGUAAGAGGAUUCUAUAUCACUUGCAUGUUUAUGCUUUUAAUUACACAUAUUUAAAACAUUAUUUAAUACAAUGACAAUGCCUAGAAUCAAUUGUAAACGACUUUGGUAACGGGCAAGGUGUUGUAAGUGGUAGAGCA
rnacentral:rRNA from 1 species